rnacentral:tRNA from 1 species
UCCAGGUUAGCUCAGUUGGCAGAGCGCUCCACAUGAAAUAGAAAGGUCCCUGGUUCGAUACCAAGACCAGGCG